GGAUGUGAGGACAAUCUGGCUGCAACAUUUGUUACCACAUUGAUCCCAGGGUUGAUUCAGUUGAUCAAGUUGGCUAGGCAGGUGUCCCUUUCCUCUCUCCAUGUACAUCCCUCCUGAAGCUGUUUGACCAGUAGAAGAUGAACUUCCUUUCCUAACAGGAGGCUUGGUCUUAGACCGAGGGCAUGUAUAGCUGCACUCCCCUGCUGGAACCUCCACACAAGCCUCCAAUUUGUCCAAUUAACUUCUCUCGUU
rnacentral:sRNA from 1 species